GACAGAGGAGGCAAGCGUUGUCCGGACUGACUGGGCGUAAAGCGUCCGCAGGUGGUCGUGCAAGUGCGCUGUGAAAGCGGCCCGCUCAACGGGCCGAGGCCAGCGCAGACUGCGCGACUCGAGGUCGGGGAGAGGUCGGUGGAAUUGCCGGUGUAGUGGUGAAAUGCGUAGAGAUCGGGCAGGAACACCCAAGGGGAAGCCAGCCGACUGGCCCGCACCUGACACUCAGGGACGACAGCGUGGGGGAGCGAACCGG
rnacentral:rRNA from 1 species